AUAAAUUAUGUAUAUAUAUAAUUUAUUUGGGUCGAGUUCGGGUUCGGGUCGGGUAAAUACAAAAUCCAUACCCGUAUCCAUUUCCGUCGGAUUUAAUUUUCUAUACUUAUAACCGAAUUCAUACCCGUUUAGCUCGGGUAAAUCCGCCCCGUUCGGGUUCGGGUUCGGAUAAUAUUUGGGGCAUCCAUACCCAUUGACAUCCCUAAAUAAGAGAACCCAUAAGGUUUAUGAGGGUUGUAAACAAUUAGAAUGUGAAAUUAUUUCUGUUUACUGAAAUAGUAACAAAUCUACCCAUUUUGAUUGAUAAUAAGGAAGUAGUUUAGUUGAUUACAUGGUAAUUUCUUAGUAGGUGUUUGCAGUGGAUAACAUCUCAGUAUAUCAAACUUGCGAGAUCUAUCAUCAUAUUCUUUUGUUGGGAUUAAAUGGACAUAACGACAGUGCAUAGAGAAAUUAGAAAGAAACGGAAGAUUAUUCUCGAUCACCGAAUAAUAGGCAGGAACUCCUAAUUACCGAGCACAUAAAUAGUGGUGUUCAUGAAGUACCCUGUAACUACAAUAGCGAUUACAGUGGAACAGCUAGCAGAGGUGGUUAUUUUAUAGUAUCUAGGGUGCCAACAGAAAUAAAUGGAGCAGGCACUUCUCGGGUUGCAACUCAACGUGUUGAGCAAUUUUAUUUAGGAUUACCGAAAUAUCACCUCCGCCAACGUAAUUGCGCCGCUGCUGCUGAGGGUGCGAUAGAGGUGAGGGCGACGGCAGUGUGAUUGUUGUGGCGGAGGGCGCAGCAGAGCCACCACACGAGGGACGAGGAGGUUUGGUUUGACGAGGAAUGGGGGAGGGUGAUGGAGUGGGGAAAUUAGGGGUUCGAGGGUGACAUGUCGUCUCCAACACGGGUACAACUCAAGUAAAUAUUCUUCAAUGUUCUUACUGAGGAUUGAGACACAGUUUGUUGACUUAAACUAACAGAAGGAACUAUUGCUGAAUUCCUCCCUCCAAUGUUCUGCUGCCUUUUUGGUUGGUAAUUGUUGUCACUGUUUGUUUCCUGUUUAGCUCGAAGUUGACUGUUUAAAAGGAUAGGUUUAUGCACUUUGGAAAUGAUCAUGUAUUAGGCUUCCACAAUGACUAGGCUUCAGCAAUUAAUUCAAGUUGUUGUCUCGUCGUGGUGUUGUUUUGUGAAAAUUGGGUGCUUAUAUGUGAGUAAAUGGCGUAGAUUAAAAUUUAAAUUUCUUCAA